UCCGGUUUGUCACCGGCAGUCUCAGUAAAGUGCCCAACUUAAUGAUGGCAAUUACCGACAAGGGUUGCGCUCGUUGCGGGACUUAACCCAACAUCUCACGACACGAGCUGACGACAGCCAUGCAGCACCUGUGUAACCAUUCUCUUGCGAGCACACCCAUAUCUCUACAGGCUUUGGUCCAUGUCAAGGGUAGGUAAGGUUUUUCGCGUUGCAUCGAAUUAAUCCACAUCAUCCACCGCUUGUGCGGGUCCCCGUCAAUUCCUUUGAGUUUUAAUCUUGCGACCGUACUCCCCAGGCGGUCAACUUCCCGCGUUAGCUGCGUUACUAAGACAAUGAAGUCCCAACAACUAGUUGACAUCGUUUACGGCGUGGACUAC
rnacentral:misc_RNA from 1 species